AUGUGCAGCCGUGGUCUAUUUAUUUUGGAACUCCAAAAUGCAACUGGUGAAUUGGACUUUUUUAAAGCAAGCAGAAGUGACUUCCCAGGAUUUGAUUUUUUCUUUGGAAACAGAUAUAAAGCAUAUCUCUGGGACAGCCAAUGGGACCAAUGCCUGCAGGGGCCUAUUUCUACAGACCACAGGAGAAGCCUGAAUUCACAGUGCUGCAGGUGGAUAAAAUUUCCCAGACUGUACAUCAAGUUGGCUGGAGACAACCAUGAGAUCUUCAAGCAACUUUGCUGACUCUGUUGGCGCCGCUAAUGUAGGCAAGUUGAAGAGUGCACUGUGAAUCAGGAGUAUUUGAAGAGUGGACUGUAAAUCCAGGAGCCAUGGGUGCUUGUCACAGUCUGAAUUCAAAUCAUGAUACCUUUGUGUUAACACAAAGAAAUAAUUCUUGUUGGUUGGCCUUAUCUAGCCUAAGUCCCUGAAGUUUACAAGGGAAGGUACAGCUCUCUAAGUCCAGAAGUGCAGUAAUUUAGGCUACCUACUUUGAAAAGUACUUCACUGCUUUACAGUGAUCUUUAGCAAACAGCUCACAUUAGCAAGAUAGGUGCAUCUUUAAAUCUUACUGGCACUGUUGGAACUGCUUGCAGCUCUGAACAAACCCAUUAUUUUGCUUGUGAUGGUAAUGGUUUUGGCCCAUCCUUUGUACAUGUCAUGAAAAAUACUACGCUUGCAGGCUGGAUUUAGAAGAGUCCAGUGUAGCUACCUGGAAUCAGUGUGUAUACCCACACAAAAUAUUAACUGAAUUUUGUUCAGGAGAGCAAGUAAUUUCAAUCAGAAAGUAUUCUGAAGUACAAUUCAGGAUGUACUGGUAUCCUAGAUACAAAAGGGGCUUAAUGAUGCCAAUCACAGUUCAUAUUGAAUCCUUCCACAUAAAACCCACACAAAUAUGAAAUAAAAAUCCUAUAUUUUUCA
rnacentral:lncRNA from 1 species